CUUGCUUCUCUGAUGUUAGCGGCGGACGGGUGAGUAACACGUGGAUAACCUACCUAUAAGACUGGGAUAACUUCGGGAAACCGGAGCUAAUACCGGAUAAUAUUUUGAACCGCAUGGUUCAAAAGUGAAAGACGGUCUUGCUGUCACUUAUAGAUGGAUCCGCGCUGCAUUAGCUAGUUGGUAAGGUAACGGCUUACCAAGGCAACGAUGCAUAGCCGACCUGAGAGGGUGAUCGGCCACACUGGAACUGAGACACGGUCCAGACUCCUACGGGAGGCAGCAGUAGGGAAUCUUCCGCAAUGGGCGAAAGCCUGACGGAGCAACGCCGCGUGAGUGAUGAAGGUCUUCGGAUCGUAAAACUCUGUUAUUAGGGAAGAACAUAUGUGUAAGUAACUGUGCACAUCUUGACGGUACCUAAUCAGAAAGCCACGGCUAACUACGUGCCAGCAGCCGCGGUAAUACGUAGGUGGCAAGCGUUAUCCGGAAUUAUUGGGCGUAAAGCGCGCGUAGGCGGUUUUUUAAGUCUGAUGUGAAAGCCCACGGCUCAACCGUGGAGGGUCAUUGGAAACUGGAAAACUUGAGUGCAGAAGAGGAAAGUGGAAUUCCAUGUGUAGCGGUGAAAUGCGCAGAGAUAUGGAGGAACACCAGUGGCGAAGGCGACUUUCUGGUCUGUAACUGACGCUGAUGUGCGAAAGCGUGGGGAUCAAACAGGAUUAGAUACCCUGGUAGUCCACGCCGUAAACGAUGAGUGCUAAGUGUUAGGGGGGUUUCCGCCCCUUA
rnacentral:rRNA from 1 species